CCUCUCCCCAAGCAUCAAGCGCUUGGCAUGAAGUAGGAGUUACUGGAUCUUGGGAGCCUGAGAGCCUUUCUCCAGGAGUCUGAGUUUGAAUUUGGGGAUAGCUUUCACCUUUGUUUUCAGUUCCUUGUUGAGAUCUGAAUAGUUGAGACUAUCAGAAAAUUCACUUCCUGCUAAGGAACAUAUUAGUUCUAGUAAAAAUAAUAAAAUCUACUUUUCUCCCACUAGCAAACACUGCUCACUAGAAAAGCAGAAUGGCAAGAUUAUUAGGAGCUGCCUGUUCCCGGCUCUCUCUCUUCCUGGCUGGGACAGUGGUGAGACUAAAGGCAGCCCUGUGGCCAGGGAUCUCUCUGGGCCUUUCCCGGAAGCCGGGGAUAGGGAGCCAUCCUGGGGGGCAGAGACCGACUGGUGUCCAGCCCUGAGAGCUCUGGAGAAAGCAAGGACCGAGCCAGGCUCUCGGGGAAUUCAGACCAAUCCUGCUGGACUGUGUUUCCCCGAAGCGUGGAGAAUCAUUUAGUGGCAUGAAAGGUGGCUGAGAAGCGAUAAAUAACCUACCAAUGGGAAUAGGCCUGUCUGGGAGGUAGGAGAUGGC
rnacentral:lncRNA from 1 species